UGGGGAAUCUUGGACAAUGGGGGCAACCCUGAUCCAGCGACGCCGCGUGGGUGAUGAAGGCCUUAGGGUUGUAAACCCCUUUCACCGGGGAGGAUGAUGACGUUACCCGGAGAAGAAGCACCGGCUAACUCCGUGCCAGCAGCCGCGGUAAUACGAAGGGGGCUAGCGUUGUUCGGAAUUACUGGGCGUAAAGCGCACGUAGGCGGACCAUUAAGUCAGGGGUGAAAUCCCGGGGCUCAACCUCGGAAUUGCCUUUGAUACUGGUGGUCUUGAGUCCGAGAGAGGUGAGUGGAACUCCGAGUGUAGAGGUGAAAUUCGUAGAUAUUCGGAAGAACACCAGUGGCGAAGGCGGCUCACUGGCUCGGUACUGACGCUGAGGUGCGAAAGCGUGGGGAGCAAACAGGAUUAGAUACCCCCGUAGUCC
rnacentral:rRNA from 1 species